AAACUGGGGAGGCACCAUCCAAGCCUCAGCAAUGCUGAAGAAACUUGUCUCAUUAUUAUUACACUGUAAGAUGAUCUCUCAUGCUUCACCAUCACAGUUAGGUGGCAUAAUCUGAGCCUCAAAAUUCAGAAUCUUCUCCCAGAGUUAGACGAUAGCAGAAUCUCAAAGUCAAAGAUGAUCCUAGUUAUCUAGUCUGGUGAUUCUCAGACUUGAGUGUGCAUCUAUAUAACCUACAGGGGUUCUGAAACACUAAGACCGGAAAGCCAUGCAAACCUUCCUCCUCCCUUAGGCUCACCAUAUCAAAUUACAGCAGACCUCAGACACUUUUCUUUUUUGUUGUUUUGUUGUUGUUGAGACAAGGUCUCACUUUGUCACCCAGGCUGGAGUACAGUGGCGAGAACACGGCUCACUGCCGCCUCGACCUCCCAUGCUCAAGCGAUCCUCUCACCUCAGCCUUCCAGGUAGCUAAGGGCGUGCCUCCACGUCCAGCUAAUUUUUGUAUUUUUUGUAGAGUUGGUUUGCAGAAAACAGCCCCCAACAAAGUCAAUCCCCAGCACUAGUGAAGUUCACAUUUUUAUUCUAUUUUAAAGGGGAAAUUACAUGCUGUAAUAGUUUUGUGAACUUCGAACUAUCAUGCAAGAGUCUAGUGUAUCAAUUCUCUCUGUGAUCAAACAGAAAACUAUGCACUAAGCUGCUGAUCUUAGCACUUGGCCAGGUGCUGU
rnacentral:lncRNA from 1 species